rnacentral:lncRNA from 1 species
AGGGGUCUACGUGAAAAAGUCGUAAUAGAUCAAGUAAGCAUGAGGAACGUGACUGGGGGCUACAAACAUCAGUUAACAGAACAAAAAGUUUUAUAGUGCUUUCUCAUACAAUGUCUGGAAUUUACAGAUAACACCAGUAGUUUUGGUCAGGGGUUAAUAAUAAUAUUAUUAUUUUAGCCACCAGGGCCGGGUGGUGGCGCCAAGGUCGUCUAGCUAUUUAUCUUACUUCUGUUUCUUUCCAACUUUUUGCUUUCUCUCUUUUCUCCUGUCUUAUAAACUAGGGAAAAGGGGAGGUUGGGGAGAAACUGGGAAGGACAACAGGAGAAGUGGUGGCCUCAUACCAUAAUAGGAGCUGAGGGGACACAGUGAGGUGUGACCAGAAGACAAGAGUGCGAGCCUUCUGUUAUGCCCGGACAGGGCCACCAGAGGGCUCCUUGGUCUAGCGGUGACGCCAGCGUCUGGGAAGACACCCGUUGCCAGGGGGACCAUGGUCUAGCUGUAGCGAAAAGUGUCAAGGAACAACACCCGCUACUUAGCAGACCAGGAAAGGGGGGGGGGGUCUCCCUUUCCCCGGGGGAGUUUAGAGAAGACUCUGCUCCUCCACCUCUUGUGGAGGGCCUGACAUCAGUCAGGCUUGCCCACAGUUAUCCGGAGACCUAACCGUCUCCCUGUGAUGCUGUGCUUCAGUGGUCAUGCUCCUAGUCUGCCUUCAUGUUCCAUCCUGUACACCUGGCUCUGCCUUCUAGAUAGCAGUAGAAAAUUAGUGAAAGUACUGAAAGUCUCUGAUAUGCAGAAAUAAUGGUGUAAGCUGUCUUUCUCUUUGUCUCCUCUCUCUCUCUGCCUCGGCUGCCAGGCAGGGAAGGGCCCCCUGUCCAGUGGACACAUGACCCACGUGACGUUACCUAUCAUUGGAGAUGACUCACACUCUUUACCCUGCCCCUUUUGCUUGCAUCCAGUAAAUAACAGUGCAGCCAGACAUUCGGGGCCGCUACCGGUCUCCGCACAUUGGUGGUAGUCGUCCCCCGGGCCCAGCUGUCUUUUCUUUUAUCUCUUUGUCUUGUGUCUUUAUUUCUACACUCUCUCAUCGCCGCACACGGGGAGAGACCCACAGACCCUGUGGGGCUGGUCCCUGCACUCUGCCUCCCGGAUUCAAGUGAUUCUCCUGCCUCAGCCUCCUGAGUAGCUGGGAUUACAGGCAUGCGCCACCACGCCCGGCUAGUUUUGGAUUUUUAGUAGAGUCUGAGUUUCUCCAUGUUGGUCAGGCUGCUCUCUAACUUCCGACCUCAGGUGAUCCACCCACCUUGGCCUCCGAAAGUGCUGAGAUUACAGACGUAAGCCACCCCUCCCGGUCUUAAUUUUAAUUUUUACUAGAGACGUGGUCUCCCUAUGUUCCCCAGGCUGGUCUCAAACUCCUGAGCUCAAGCGAUUCUCUCUCCUUGGCCUCCCAAAGCAUUGGGAAACAGACGUGAGCCACCCCAGUCAACCUCCUUUUGGGAUUCUUGCAACUUUUCUGUAGGUGAGAAAUUAUGUCAAAGUAGAAGCUAGAUAAAGGAAUACUCCCUUCAUCCCCUGAGCAUUCCACGAGGUGAAAUCCUCCUUUUCCCAUUGGCCCAGCCACCGCCCAGCCCGUGGCCAUUGGUCCAGCCCUCGCCCAUUGGUCCAGCCCCGGCCCAUCCCUCGUCCAUUAGUCCAGCCCUUGCCAUUGGUCCAACCCAUCCAUUGGUUCAGCCCCGCCCAUUGGUACCGCCCCCUUCCAUUGGCUCAGACCCCGUCCUUUGGCCCCGCCCUGCCCAUUGGCCCUUCGCUCGCCCAUUGGUCUAGCCACGCCCAUUGGCCCAGCCCAUCCCUCGCCCAUUGGUCCAUCCCCGCCCUUUUGUUCCACCCCUUCCGUCGGCUUAGUG